CCCUCAAGCCUUGACCAUUAAUGAAACCUCAGAAUACAUGGGGGGGACAUGAGACCUAAACCCCAAAAUACAAUAAGCAUAGAGAGAACAUCCUAGAUUAAAACCGGGAUUCUCCACAAAAUCUAUGUAUUCUAACAAGCACCAAUUAGCGAAGAGUGCAACAUUGUUAUCAAAACAGAUGACCACACAGAUUUGAUUUGUAACCCCCAUUGUUUUUCACCAACCAAUUUAAAGCAUAUAAGGAAACUCAUUCUACUUUCCAGCAACGCUUGUUCUAGAAUUCUCUCAAUUUGCCUAUAUAAACAACCUAAAGAUUGCUCAAAAUUCAUCCAUGUCUAUCAUUCCCAAUUCUCUAUAUACUGGAUAUCCUUUUGAUUUCAUAAAGGGAAUUAUGAAACCUUCUGCUGCAUUAGACCAUGGUAUAUGGUUCUGAAAUACUCACCGAAUCCAUGAUUUACCAGAGGAGGUUGACAACUGUGACUGUACUACUCAACAAUGCUCGGAGAAUCCAUUGGAAACUGUACAAACUGUGCCUCUUUGUUUAAUGUCAAUGCUGAAGACUAUCUGCACAAGGACAUCCGGAAGAGAUGGAAGUCGUGAAGUACUUGUUGAAGAAUAGUAAAGUUUUGAAGACGAUGACGAUCUCUACGUUAAGGAAUAAUUGUGGAGAUGCAAAGGCGUUGCAGAGGAAUUUACGUAUGUUUCCAAGAGCUUCAGAGACUUGUGAGGUUGAGUCUAUAUGAGCUGCAACUUCAGGUUAUAAAUUCACUCUGGCCUAAAACACGUCUCACAGUAAUUUUACGUUGAAUAGUCCAGCUUUUGUUAAUUCAGAGGGAUUAAUUCUCUAUUGAAGUUGUAAAAGCACCAAGUUGACCUCACUAUAUAUGACUUUGAAUAGUCCAGCUUUUGUUUUCAGAGGGAUUAAUUCUCUAUUGAAGUUGUAAAAGCGCCAUGUUGACCUUACUAUAUACGAAUCUAUUUGCAGUCGUUUUGUUUUUAA